AUAAAAAACGCCUAUAGAGCUCGAAUUUUAAAACACAAGAAAUAAUCUUCCUGGAUGAAAUUGAGCUGAGUUUCGAGAGCAGCUAAAAUGGUUAACGAAUUAAGUUUAAAUCAGCAGCUGGCACAGGCUGUUAGCUCAUUUGCUACUUUAAACACAUUUGCCUUAUGGCCAAGUGCGAAUGGGUUAUAUGCUUGGCAGCAUAUGGCCUUUGGGCCUACAACCAAGCCUUUGUAUAGUGUCAAAACUGAUAUUUCAGUUUGUAAUCGAAUUGUUGAGUUGAAAUACAGUAAAAUGGUGCCCUUGUCUAUAUUGGAUUUUCAUAUGACCGAUGCAGAUUUAUUGGCUCUGGAAUUGGAAAAGAUUGCAUUGGCCUAACGAGCUGCGAAUUAUAAGAAGCGGUUUGAGUCAUGCAAGCAAUACAAUCGAAUGUAUCUAAAUAU
rnacentral:sRNA from 1 species